UCAAAGUGCUGGGAUUACAGGUGUGAGCCACCAUGCCCAGCCUCAAUGUACAAUUUUUGUAAAAGCUACUUAUCCGUUAUCUGCUCCUUUCUGCCACCCUACCUCACAAUGACUCUCUCUUCAAGGUCCCAUUUCUCAGACCCAAACUACAGUACUACUUCUUAUGCAUAAACUUUCUAAGACUGCGAGCACCAAAACCUCCUCGUUCCUCUCUUCCCCAAUCAAAAACUGCAGGUACGCCAGACAGGAGGCUGUUAGCCGUGGAGAGAACUCUAUUUAUUUUUCAGUUUCUUUCCUUUAUCCAGAUCUGAGCCCAGACAUGGUAUGAUUAGAGAGGACAGGCUAAUGACCCUGGAAUUUCAGUGCCUUAACAGCACAGGUGUAUUUUACAACCCUUCACAGUCCAUUAUGAGAUCAUGGUAGGGGUGGGGAGGACUCUCCUCCACAAAGUUACUCAGGGACCCAGGCUUGCUCCAGCAAGGAGGAAAGAGUAAGGAUAGUUGGCUGCCUAUGAAACUCUCCAGAUUGAAAGAGACCAUUACACAUAUUGUAAAGACCAGAGGAAUUGUUUUCUGCACACCUUGCCUAGGGUAAGUACUCUUCUACAACCUAAAACAAAGUGUAGAAUUUGAUAAGAGCUAAGCCCUGCUUGAAAGUAGAAAAGGGGCUUUCAGAAAUAGAAGAAGGGCUUGGAAACAAGUAUAAAGAGCCAAAAAAGAGGUAUCAUCAACAGGAAGAGGGUGAGGAUGCACCUGUAAGCCACACACAUUGGACAACACAGGUUCUUCACUGCAAGUCUGUGAAGCUCAAUCAAAGAAGCUUUGGUGAAAAAGGUAGCCUGUUCAGGACACAGCAGAAUGUGAUUUUUUGCUUCUAAAGAAAAGGGAAAUUUGGACACAGACCCAGAGAGGACAGUGCCAUGGACACACAGACACAGGGGAGAAUGCCAGACGAAGGCAGAGGCAGAGGCUGGAGGCAAGUAUCUACAAGCUAACGGACAGCAAGGAUUUCCAGCCACCACCAGAAGCUAGGGAAAAAGCCGGCAAUAGAUUCUCUCAGAGCCUCCAGUCAGAACCAAUCAACCUUGGUUUUGGCCCUUUAGCUUGCAGAACUGUAAAAACAAUAAAUUUCUGUCUUAAGCCA